GGGUGGAGGGAGUGGUGUGUGUGUGAGUUACAGGGUGGUGGUAGAGUGUUGUGGGGGGGUGGAGGGAGCGGUGUGUGUGUGUGAGUUACAGGGUGGUGGUAGAGUGUUGUGGGGGGUGGAGGGAGCGGUGUGUGUGUGUGAGUUACAGGGUGGUGGUAGAGUGUUGUGGGGGGUGGAGGGAGUGGUGUGUGUGUGAGUUACAGGGUGGUGGUAGAGUUUUGUGGGGGGUGGAGGGAGUGGUGUGUGUGUGAGUUACAGGGUGGUGGUAGAGUUGUGGGGGGUGGAGGGAGCGUGGUGUGUGUGUGAGUUACAGGGUGGUGGUAGAG
rnacentral:lncRNA from 1 species